rnacentral:lncRNA from 1 species
UUUAUUUCACUUGUAGGUAACAAAUCCGAAGUAUUUUAGAGUCUAAAUUAAUACUUAACAUUGAAUAUUUCACAAAAAAAAUUACAAAUAUAUAUUACAUUGUUGGUAACAGUUUUAAAACAAUAUCCGCGGCAAAAUAUUAUAAAAGGAUAUUCAAAAUUUUGCAUUGAAAGACAUAUUCUUAUAAUAACUUUAAUUGACAUGUAUCUGAAAAACUAAAAGAAGCUUUGCUUUCGGAGUGUGGAGUCCAGUGCAAAGAACAAGUGCUAGUGUACAUUAUACGUCUUUUUUCUGCUAUUUGGUCGGAUUGUUGUCUCUUCGGCAAUUUCCUGUCUUCAUUUUAUUAGUUUUGGUAAAGUUUACCAUUCUGCUCUAUUGUUGUG